rnacentral:tRNA from 1 species
CCACCCGUAGCUCAGCUGGUAGAGCACUCGACUCUUAAUCGAUUGGUCGUUGGUUCGAUUCCAACCGGGUGGA